UACGGAGGGGGCUAGCGUUGUUCGGAAUUACUGGGCGUAAAGCGCACGUAGGCGGCUUUGUAAGUUAGAGGUGAAAGCCCAGGGCUUAACUCUGGAAUUGCCUUUAAGACUGCAUCGCUAGAAUCGUGGAGAGGUGAGUGGAAUUCCGAGUGUAGAGGUGAAAUUCGUAGAUAUUCGGAAGAACACCAGUGGCGAAGGCGACUCACUGGCCCGGUACUGACGCUGAGGCACGAAAGCGUGGGGAGCAAACAGG
rnacentral:rRNA from 1 species